rnacentral:lncRNA from 1 species
CCCGAAUCGACAACGUUGAAAACGUAUGAAAAUCGUCCAGUGGACAAACUUGCAAGACAUUUCAUUUCUUUGAAAACGAAGUCGUUUUAACUACGCAAAUUAUCCAAAAGUAUGUAGACUAGCUGUUUUGUAGAGUUAAAGCACAAUUACGGAAAAGCACUAUUUAGCAUUCAACAAAUCUAAAUUUUCAAUAAAUAACGUC